rnacentral:rRNA from 1 species
GGGUUGUGAGGUUAAGCGACUAAGCGUACACGGUGGAUGCCCUGGCAGUCAGAGGCGAUGAAGGGCGUGCUAAUCUGCGAUAAGCGCCGGUAAGGUGAUAUGAACCGUUAUAACCGGCGAUACCCGAAUGGGGAAACCCAGUGUGAUUCGUCACACUAUCAUUAACUGAAUCCAUAGGUUAAUGAGGCGAACCGGGGGAACUGAAACAUCUAAGUACCCCGAGGAAAAGAAAUCAACCGAGAUUCCCCCAGUAGCGGCGAGCGAACGGGGAGGAGCCCAGAGCCUGAAUCAGCAUGUGUGUUAGUGGAAGCGUCUGGAAAGGCGCGCGAUACAGGGUGACAGCCCCGUACACAAAAGCGCAUGUGCUGUGAGCUCGAUGAGUAGGGCGGGACACGUGGUAUCCUGUCUGAAUAUGGGGGGACCAUCCUCCAAGGCUAAAUACUCCUGACUGACCGAUAGUGAACCAGUACCGUGAGGGAAAGGCGAAAAGAACCCCGGCGAGGGGAGUGAAAAAGAACCUGAAACCGUGUACGUACAAGCAGUGGGAGCACAGGUUUACCUGUGUGACUGCGUACCUUUUGUAUAAUGGGUCAGCGACUUAUAUUCUGUAGCAAGGUUAACCGAAUAGGGGAGCCGGAGGGAAACCGAGUCUUAACCGGGCGUUAAGUUGCAGGGUAUAGACCCGAAACCCGGUGAUCUAGCCAUGGGCAGGUUGAAGGUUGGGUAACACUAACUGGAGGACCGAACCGACUAAUGUUGAAAAAUUAGCGGAUGACCUGUGGCUGGGGGUGAAAGGCCAAUCAAACCGGGAGAUAGCUGGUUCUCCCCGAAAGCUAUUUAGGUAGCGCCUCGUGAAUUCAUCUCCGGGGGUAGAGCACUGUUUCGGCUAGGGGGCCAUCCCGGCUUACCAACCCGAUGCAAACUGCGAAUACCGGAGAAUGUUAUCACGGGAGACACACGGCGGGUGCUAACGUCCGUCGUGAAGAGGGAAACAACCCAGACCGCCAGCUAAGGUCCCAAAGUCAUGGUUAAGUGGGAAACGAUGUGGGAAGGCCCAGACAGCCAGGAUGUUGGCUUAGAAGCAGCCAUCAUUUAAAGAAAGCGUAAUAGCUCACUGGUCGAGUCGGCCUGCGCGGAAGAUGUAACGGGGCUAAACCAUGCACCGAAGCUGCGGCAGCGACGCUUAUGCGUUGUUGGGUAGGGGAGCGUUCUGUAAGCCUGUGAAGGUGUGUCGUGAGGCAUGCUGGAGGUAUCAGAAGUGCGAAUGCUGACAUAAGUAACGAUAAAGCGGGUGAAAAGCCCGCUCGCCGGAAGACCAAGGGUUCCUGUCCAACGUUAAUCGGGGCAGGGUGAGUCGACCCCUAAGGCGAGGCCGAAAGGCGUAGUCGAUGGGAAACGGGUUAAUAUUCCCGUACUUGGUGUUACUGCGAAGGGGGGACGGAGAAGGCUAUGUUGGCCGGGCGACGGUUGUCCCGGUUUAAGCGUGUAGGUGUGUGUUCCAGGUAAAUCCGGUUCACUUUAACACUGAGGCGUGAUGACGAGGCACUACGGUGCUGAAGUAACAAAUGCCCUGCUUCCAGGAAAAGCCUCUAAGCAUCAGGUAACAUCAAAUCGUACCCCAAACCGACACAGGUGGUCAGGUAGAGAAUACCAAGGCGCUUGAGAGAACUCGGGUGAAGGAACUAGGCAAAAUGGUGCCGUAACUUCGGGAGAAGGCACGCUGACACGUAGGUGAAGUGAUUUACUCACGGAGCUGAAGUCAGUCGAAGAUACCAGCUGGCUGCAACUGUUUAUUAAAAACACAGCACUGUGCAAACACGAAAGUGGACGUAUACGGUGUGACGCCUGCCCGGUGCCGGAAGGUUAAUUGAUGGGGUCAGCGCAAGCGAAGCUCCUGAUCGAAGCCCCGGUAAACGGCGGCCGUAACUAUAACGGUCCUAAGGUAGCGAAAUUCCUUGUCGGGUAAGUUCCGACCUGCACGAAUGGCGUAAUGAUGGCCAGGCUGUCUCCACCCGAGACUCAGUGAAAUUGAACUCGCUGUGAAGAUGCAGUGUACCCGCGGCAAGACGGAAAGACCCCGUGAACCUUUACUAUAGCUUGACACUGAACAUUGAGCCUUGAUGUGUAGGAUAGGUGGGAGGCUUUGAAGCGUGGACGCCAGUCUGCGUGGAGCCGACCUUGAAAUACCACCCUUUAAUGUUUGAUGUUCUAACGUGGACCCGUGAUCCGGGUUGCGGACAGUGUCUGGUGGGUAGUUUGACUGGGGCGGUCUCCUCCUAAAGAGUAACGGAGGAGCACGAAGGUUGGCUAAUCCUGGUCGGACAUCAGGAGGUUAGUGCAAUGGCAUAAGCCAGCUUGACUGCGAGCGUGACGGCGCGAGCAGGUGCGAAAGCAGGUCAUAGUGAUCCGGUGGUUCUGAAUGGAAGGGCCAUCGCUCAACGGAUAAAAGGUACUCCGGGGAUAACAGGCUGAUACCGCCCAAGAGUUCAUAUCGACGGCGGUGUUUGGCACCUCGAUGUCGGCUCAUCACAUCCUGGGGCUGAAGUAGGUCCCAAGGGUAUGGCUGUUCGCCAUUUAAAGUGGUACGCGAGCUGGGUUUAGAACGUCGUGAGACAGUUCGGUCCCUAUCUGCCGUGGGCGCUGGAGAACUGAGGGGGGCUGCUCCUAGUACGAGAGGACCGGAGUGGACGCAUCACUGGUGUUCGGGUUGUCAUGCCAAUGGCACUGCCCGGUAGCUAAAUGCGGAAGAGAUAAGUGCUGAAAGCAUCUAAGCACGAAACUUGCCCCGAGAUGAGUUCUCCCUGAGACUUAGAGUCUCCUGAAGGAACGUUGAAGACGACGACGUUGAUAGGCCGGGUGUGUAAGCGCAGCGAUGCGUUGAGCUAACCGGUACUAAUGAACCGUGAGGCUUAACCUUACAACGCCGAAG